rnacentral:rRNA from 1 species
UCACACCUGCGUCAGCGUGGGAA